AUUGAACGCUGGCGGCAUGCCUUACACAUGCAAGUCGAACGGUAACAGGUCUUCGGAUGCUGACGAGUGGCGAACGGGUGAGUAAUACAUCGGAACGUGCCCGAUCGUGGGGGACAACGAGGCGAAAGCUUUGCUAAUACCGCAUACGAUCUACGGAUGAAAGCGGGGGAUCUUCGGACCUCGCGCGGACGGAGCGGCCGAUGGCAGAUUAGGUAGUUGGUGGGAUAAAAGCUUACCAAGCCGACGAUCUGUAGCUGGUCUGAGAGGAUGAUCAGCCACACUGGGACUGAGACACGGCCCAGACUCCUACGGGAGGCAGCAGUGGGGAAUUUUGGACAAUGGGCGAAAGCCUGAUCCAGCCAUGCCGCGUGCAGGAUGAAGGCCUUCGGGUUGUAAACUGCUUUUGUACGGAACGAAAAGCCUCUUUCUAAUAAAGAGAGGUCAUGACGGUACCGUAAGAAUAAGCACCGGCUAACUACGUG
rnacentral:rRNA from 1 species